UGAUUUUUGUGUUUUAAUAUUUGUUCAUGUAUUUGAAUGCAUUUUUAAUUUCUGCCGAUCUAUCUGAAGCCCAGUUCAAUUUGUUGGAAAUUCAUCAGAUAGUAUUGGGUCUAAUCAUUUCCUUUAGUUUUUCAGGUUGGGUUUUUUUUUUUUUUUUAAAUUUCUAUAGGGGAGUUGCAUGUGUCCAUGUCAGGUUCAUAAGCCAAAGAAACCAUUUUUCUGGAUAUAUUGAAAUAUAUACUUAAUCUUCAAUCCUGCGUAGUAGCAGCGAUCGCCACCUGUUUGAUGAAAGAUACCAGUGAAACAAUUGUUAAUGUUUGGGAACCAACAUAGCUCCUUAUUUUGGGUGUUUGUUUUUGUUUUUGUCAAGAGAACGAUUUGGAGCAAGUGACUCAAACUUCUUAUCAAAUAAGGUUGUGAGUUCGUUUGUUAGUUGGUUCUGUGAAAUGCAAACGUGUUCCAUCUUCAAAUAAGGUUUAAUUUGCUCAGUUUUUUAGUCUUUCAGUAUAAAAAAGUUAUGCACUUUUUUUUGUAAUUAUCAAUGCAGCUGUUGAGUUGCUUAUUCUCUAAUUUUUUAAAGAGGGCCAUUAAUAUAGUACAAGUAUUUUUUUCUUUCCAUAGGAGCUAAGGAUAUAUGUAAUUGUAUGUUGGUUUUAUGAGUUUGUUUGAUAUAUGACCUUUAGUUUGUAUACUUAUAUGGAAUUGUGCAAGGUUGCCACUCUUUGCCCCCUUUCGAUUGUGAUUGACGUUAUUGUUUUGUUCUUUCUUAUUGUAAAUGUCAUUUUGUUUGUAAAGUUUAGUUUAUAAACUACUUCUAUUUACUUUUUGAAUUUCUUUUUGUUUAUGUUGUCGUUUCUUGAUUUUAGUUUCUGUGGAUAUAUAUGGUUCUGAUUACAGAAAGUAUUGUCAUUGGACGAGAACUCUUACAAGCAAGCUGCAAAUCUGUUCAAAGAAAGCAAGAUCUGUUAAUAUCAAAUGCGUCAGCCAUUGGCAACGGAAUAAAGCAAAACGAUUCUGGUUUGCUUUUGUUUUGUACUCUGGAAAAACUUUGAAUGACAAGAAUUCGGAUAAUUCACAGAAGAGUUCUGAUGAUAAUGGAUUUUCUCUCUUCCAAAUUUUGUGAGCUGCAAAGCUAAACAUCGUAGAUUUUUUCAAGGAGUUUUCUCAGUUUGUUGUCAAGGCUGGUUCAAUUUUGAGUAAUAUUUAUGGUGUAGAUUGGGAAAACAAACUUGAGG